GUGCUCUUCCGUGUUCCUGGCCCUCUGGAAUGCAGAUGGCAGAGAACAUGGAAGCCACAUGUGAAAGAUGGCAGAAACUCUGUCAACCUGGCCACCACACCAAACUGUUUGGCUACCUGAUUAGUUGUGUCAGGUUGCAAGAAAUCAGCUACUGUUGGGUGAUCCACCCUACCUCAUAUUGUCUCCUAAUGGCCGUCCAGUUUAUCCUACAGCCCUUGUAUGACACAUGCCUAUCGAAGCAUAGGAGAUGCCAAUAUUUUACCUCUCGGGUACUUUCUGUGUAGAAGAUUCAUAACAAGAACAAUACUUAUUCUGCAAUUCUUUAUAUAAAGCUAAAAGAAGAUGCAUUCUGCCAACAACUAAUGAGCUUGGAAGAGAACUCCAAACCCCAGAAGAGGCCUGUCACAUUGGCUAACACCUUGAUUUCCACCCACUGAGACCUUGAGCAGAGACUUCAGUUACACCCCACCCAGACUUCUGACCUGCAAAAGUGUGAGCUAAUACAUGGAUGGUGUUUCAAGCUUCUGUUUGUAAAAUAUUGUUCCCCAGCAAUAGAAAAGUAAUACAUUUAUCUAAAAUCCUAUUGUUGAUAAAUGAGAGUCCAAGAUCUCCUAAGACUUAAAACAAGUCUUUUAUCUCCUGCUAGAGACAGAGAUAACAAACAGUGAUUUAAGAAUGCAUUUGAUCAAGCACCAAGGUAUAUAAUCAAGGUAUAGAUGCCCAUUGGGUGAGGAACAGCCAAACUACUAUUCUUUAGUCAAUAAGAGAAUGUAAAAACUGAGACUUAUAAUUGGUCAAACAUUAAUUCUGAAUAAAAGAAAACUAUUUCAGAGAAAGUGGAAUGCAUCUCCCACUAAAUUGCAUGGCUAGGAGUUAAAAAAAAAAAAGGAAGCUACUCCUCCAACAUUUUAGCCUUUCAAAUCUGGUGGUACCAGCUAGAAACUAAGAGAUAUUUGGUCUCAUGUACCCCAUAAAUACAUACAUCUACUAUGUUCUCACAAAAAUUAAAAAUAAAUUUUUAAAAGGGAGUAUUUGGUGAACAGAAUAUGAGCUCUGAACAUAAUCUUGUAAAGGCAUCCUUACCCUAUUAAGACUCAGGUAAGAUUUUUGUGAUGUUCAAAAUUUUCCAUCCCGUUGGUGAAAUUACUCUGAAGAAAAGAGUUAUGAUUUCUGAAUUCAGAAUAAACCAAAUGUCCUUAGUUAUUCAUCCAGUUAGAGAAGUUCUUUCACUCUCUCUUCUUUCUAAACCCAAAUAAGAAAUUACUUGCUCAAAGGGAAAAAGGACUCACCAAUAUUUGUAUCUUUCUCGGUGUAUAUGAGGCCUGGAGUCAUGUAUGCGGUGAUUUCCAGUAUCAGUUAGUACCAAUUUCCAUACAUCAGACAGUGUGAAAAAUCAUGUAAUUUCUACCACACGCAUCUAACCAUUGUGACUUUGCUGAUGAGGGAAAUAGUGGCUUCAUCUUUCCUGUGGCAUGCCAUCUCUAUUAGACUUCGUAAACUGCAGCAGUUGAAAUCUUUAACCAGCCAUUACUAAUAAGCAUAUGUUAAUUGUUGCAGAGAUCAUAAGCAGGUCAAUUAGGAGGCAAAGACUGGAACCAAAGGAAACAUUCAGCUAGAGGGAAAAUCCAGGGCAGGUGUCGGCCAGCAUGGGCUGCCCUGGCGGGAGCUCUAAGCAUCUUGGGUAGAAGCUCAUUUAACGUUUUGAUUUGCUGAAUUUGCAUUUCAAAUUUUCAUUCCUAAUAGACAAUAUAGUCAGUCUUUGUUAAUGAGGACUCUGAUUACAUGUGCCAUUAUAAUUGGGAAUUAGCAGACCAGCCUUGUUUUGGAGAUUAAACCCAAAGCAAAUUGGAUUAAAUACGGUGUGACUGAAACCUCCUCUCUCCCUUUUUGUUUUUUUAUCUUGAGUCAAAGGUGAAAAGAAAUCCAUUGGUUCCAGGCAUAUGGCUCCUAACUUUAUUAUCAUUUUUAGAGCGUUGAUUAUACUUUAAAAGAUAGCCUUCUUUGGCAGCGUUCAUUUAUAGCUUUAAAAACUUGUUUAUUAAAUUUCCUUCCAUAAACUGAGGAGAUUUAAGAGCAGAUCAUUAAAUACUUGGAACUAAUUAUAGAAUACACACAUGUAUACAGGUAGAUUUGUUAUAUUUUUAUGCAGCAUACUAUAUAUAAAAAAGCAAUGAGGGAGUAACCCUUUAAAAUGAGCUUUAGGUAAAAGUGUACAACUCAUCUUCACAGCAAUAUUAUUUGAACUCAUUGUUUUAUAAUCUAGCAAAUCUGUGACAUUUGCUCUACCAGAUGUUAGCAUAUCAUCUUAAAUGCAAAGGUGAAAUACAUUUUAUGGUAAUGUUAUCAGUUCACAAAAACCCUUUUUAUCAUUUUAUCGUGACAAUUACAAUGCAAUUUUUACAUUUUAGACUGUAAAUAUCAUAACCCUUAAGUGACAUAUAGCUUAGGGUUAUGUGUUCUUUCUAUAUUCUCUUGGGUCAUUUAAUAUUGUAAUCCAGUUACACUCCAACAUUUUCAUUAUUAAGCUGAAGACCAGUUCUUCAAAAACUAUCACUAAUCCCAAGACAGUGGAAAAUCAUGCUUAUUAAUUCCCAUGAGAUUCAGUUAGAUGUUUGUUUGGCUGUUGGCCACCUUAAUUACACAACAAAAGAAGAUCUUCACAAGAUGAAGAGAAAUUCAAAUACUUUCUGAGUGCAUGUUGGUCUUUGAAGACACACAAAUGAGGUUAGACCUGGAUAUUAAUAAUCAGGUACACUUUUUCAGCCAUAAAAGGUUAACGUGUGGAGAAACGAAGGAAGGGAGACUUUUACAUGGGGAUGUGGUUUUUAUUCCAUUGUACUGUGUUUACAGAGGAAAGUAAUCUUGGUGGAAAGUAGCUACGCAAAUAAAGGUUAAGCUACCAUGACCUUACCCACCUAGAAAUCUCUUACAAUGGAAACAAGAGAAAGUGGUAAAGUUUUCUAGGAAUGUGAAAUCUAUUAUAGGAGGAUCAGGAAUUGUUUCUUGAGGGAAGCUUGUUAAUUCUGUAAUCGCUCAAUUUCAUAUGUAUCACCUAGCCCAGUGCCUGAUUUGAUGAGAUGGGAAAGGUAAUGGCAGCUUCAGAGACACAGGUUUGCCUUGAAAAUAGAUGAGUUCCUAUGGCUAUGUGUAAGUUCUUUUCUUUCUGAUGGAAAAAAAAAAUGACUUGUUUCAGUUAAACUAAUAGAUAAUUGCUAUUUAAACCAUGUAUGAGUUUCAGAGUUUUUUUUUUACAAGGGCAGAAUGUAAUAUAAUUAACAUUGAAUUUGCCAAAGUGCUAUAAUAGUAUUAAUUUGAAGUUUUAUUCCUUAAGUUCCAUAGAAGUGAACUGCAUUCUCUAACACCAAUGCCCAACAAAUGAAUGAGUUAAGAAUCUCGAGUGUUUUGGAGUUAUCAAAUGAUAAUAAAUUAUCACUGUCAAAGUUUAA